UAGAUAACAUUGCAGUGGAUUUCAGCUUUAUGACAGUGACAAUAGUGGUAGGUAGAUAACAUUGCAGUGGAUUUCAGCUUUACGACAGUGACAAUAGUGGUAGGUAGAUAACAUUGCAGUGGAUUUCAGCUUUACGACAGUGACAAUAGUGGUAGGCAGAUAACAUUGCAGUGGAUUUCAGCUUUACGACAGUGACAGUAGUGGUAGGUAGAUAACAUUGCAGUGGAUUUCAGCUUUACGACAGUGACAGUAGUGGUGGGUAGAUAACAUUGCAGUGGAUUUCAGCUUCAUGACAGUGACAAUAGUGGUAGGUAGAUAACAUUGCAGUGGAUUUCAGCUUCAUGACAGUGAGAAUAGUGGUAGGUAGAUAACAUUGCAGUGGAUUUCAGCUUUAUGACAGUGACAAUAGUGGUAGGUAGAUAACAUUGCACUGGAUUUCAGCUUCUUGACAGUGACAAUAGUGGUAGGUAGAUAACAUUGCAGUGGAUUUCAGCUUCAUGACAGUGAGAAUAGUUGUAGGUAGAUAAGUAUUCAGCUUGCUAGUGAUAAUCUUAUGGGUGGCGAUCAACGAGAGUGACGGCAAGUCUGGAUAAGGAUAAUAACACCAGCUGCGGCGCGUACAUGGUGAUGAUGGUGUUGGUGAUGCUGGUGGAGGUCGUGGUGGUAAUUUUUAGUGGUGGUGGUGCCGGCCUGACAGACGCACAAGUCCUGACUCGCUUUCCUGCCUCCUGAUUGGCCGCCCAAGGGAGAGACUGACCUUUUAUUUCAGUGUGGAAUUACCUCCUUUCCUCAACCCUUCUCUCUUCCCUUCCUCCGACGACAUCUCUCUUCCACAGUUCUCUCCUUUCUCUCUCGUACAUCUUUCUUCAACCCUUCUCCAUUUUUUUUCUUCCGCCCCUUUCUCUCCAUCUUACUGCUCCCUCUCUUCCUCCCUUCUUCCGACAACAUCCUUCUUCUGCCCUUUCUUCUAUUUUUCCUCCUUCCCUCUCUUCCUUCUCCUACAUCUUCUACCUUCCUUCUUCAGCAUCUACACUUCCUUCCUCCUCCUCCACCUCCCCUUUCUUCCAUCCUUAACUCUUCCCUCCCUUCCUUUUCCAUUCCUCUCCACCACCUCCUGCUCCAUGGCUCCACCCUUACCUGCCAUCCGUCCUUCCAUCCAUCAUUUCCAUGCUUUACCUACCCCCAUACUUUCUCUUCCCCCUACAAUUUUUCUCAUCAAUCCUUAUUUAUUUCCAUUUCCUCUUUAACUUUGCAUUUAUUCCUAUUUCCUUCCAAACUUUCGUCCCUCGUUUCUUCGCAUAUUAUUCCAUU